CCUGAAUUCAUUUAUUUCAAGAGGAUGACUGGAUAAUUCGAUAACACCGAUUUCGAUGAUCUUCAGAUAUGUUGUUAAGCUUAUCAUUCCGAACAGCUUUCACCUACACACGUAACCGCCGCUCAGCCUAUUCGGAUAUUCAUAAAAAUCUAAACUUAACUCAUUGCUGUUAAUCGUCCUUAAUACAAAUAAAAAAGGUAAAUUAAUAGGUUAUAAGUUGGGUUAGUUUAAUAUUUGCCAAACUAAAUGUACAAAGUAAUUCAGAUGUCCUAUAGGUGGCUGCACUGCGCGAUGUGACGGAGGGAUAGUUGCAUGUGUAUUGAGAACGAGAUUACAAUAAAGUGAGUUGUGAGAGACACUCUUUCUUGGAAGAGACUAAGAUUGGAAAUAUUAAAUUAUUACCAAACGAAGAGUAUUUUUAGGUCUGUUAAGAAAAUAUAUUUAUACGUUUUUGAGUUCUUCUAUAUGUACAAUAAAAGUUAUCAAACCAAAUAAAACAACAGCAAACUAAAGCCAAGCAGCAGUAACGUACAUAAGGAAAAGUUGUUCAGAGUGAUGAUCUUGACAACAUAUUAUAUAACCCAACCUAAAUUUAACUCAUUGAUGCUGAUCACCCUUAAUAUAAUGAAAGAAAAAUAUAAUAAUAUAAUAAUGAGAGAUAUACUAAUGGGCUAUAGAUUAGAUUAGAUAGGUAUCAACUAAAUUAAAUUGAGGCCAAGCGAUGGUAACAUAUAUGAGGAAAAAGUUGUUCAGAAUUAUAAUCUUGACAACAUAUUUCAAGGUCAUCGAUAUCACACGUGAGUUGCCACUUUAUAAAUAAUUAUGGACAAAAAUAAUAGCAACUUAUGAGAUAAAUUUCAAAGAUAGUCCCUAACCUCGCCUUUUUCCGUUUUCAAAUUUAUGUAGCUGAUCAAUGUGGCUCCUGAACGAUUCAUGCUGAUAGUUGCGCACAACAACAAAGUUCGUGCAGUGUUUGAGUUUUGCGCGUGAGUCGAAAAUGCGUGUAAGCGUUGCAAAUCACAGAUGCUGAUCUAAAAAAAAAAAAUGACACUUUUGUAUUAAAACGAGGAAGAAAUUAAAACAUAUCUUAAGGAAGGAAAGUUUUACAGAAACGUAAUAGAAUUUUCAGAUACAGAUAAAUAUAGUGAGUAGCAAAAUACAGUGUUCUCUAAGUCAAUUUAGUGGAGUAUUCCACCUAAAAAAAAACUGUUCAAAAUUCAAAUUUUUAAUCUCGUUUAAAAAAAGGGAACAGUAUUAAUAUUAUUCCAGUGACCUUGAACUCUAUACAAAGGCAGGAAACCGUAUGACAAGCAUUCACUUCCUUCCUAAAUAUGUUUUUUACAAAAUUCAAUGAAAUUACUAUAUCUUUUUAAUGUAAGUAUAUAAUACACUAGUAUGGACACUAUGAAUAGAGUUUCAGGAGAUAAUUACAUUUUUAUAAAUAAUUAAUUUAUGUAAUGUGUCAAGCUCUGUCAGACAAUAAGAAACUAUGAAAUAUAGUACUCAUCGAAAUUUUUUCUGAAAAGAUUAUUUACCAUAUGCUACCAUUGUAUUAUAUUAAAGUCUUUUCAUACUCUCUUCUUUCUUUUUAGUUUUCUGCCUUGCUGAAGUGCAACAAAAUUUUUCUCCUGCAACGUUCUUUCGCUGAUUUUCCACCCAGCGAUAUCUUCUAACAGUAACAAAUAUUUCAAAUUCGUAGAGUCGUUUGUUAAAAUUGCGCUGUUCACAAUGUUCUAAUGGAAAAUUCUACGGUGUUAAAAACCUCGUUACAUUUAUUUAUAUAAAUAACAGUUAUUGCAUUAAUAGAAAAUUAAUCUGCCAGUGUUAAAUACGAAUUCUUUGGGAAAAGGGAGGAAGGAAUAAUUUUGAGUCAACGUUAUACUUAUUUUGAUCCUUGAAAAAUGUGAAGAUAAAUAGAGCAUUAAUUAGGUCUGUCUUGUUUAAUAGAUUAACAUCUUAAUAGUAUGUGAAGGUUACACUAUCUCAAAGAGAAAACCGAUAUCCUCACCCAGAGAACACUGUAUUAAUUCUUUCGCUAUGGAAGCUUAUCUGUAAAAUUAUAAUGAAUCUGGCACAAAUGUUCAAUCAAUUAAAGCGUGCUGAAUUUAUCAGAACGUUUUAUACAAUUGAAUGACCGUUUCACAUUAAUCAGACGAUUAUAAACGUUUAUAAUCUUCUUGCAACGACUAAACACAAAUUUUGGUACAGAAAGUGUAAUUCAAAAAUUUCUUAACUUCGAUAUCAAAAUACGUAAUUAAUUCGUGUUUAAUUACUCGGCAAAAUUUCGACAGGAAUAAUAAAUUUGAUCGCUGAGUGAAUCGGUUGAAAACAGAUUCAUUUGCUAGUUAUAUAUUUUCAUAAUAUUGAUUUAUAUUUCAUUUACAGUUUAUUUAGAUGCCACCAAACUUUUCUUCACUCUAUCUAUGAAAAGGCGUAGCUAUCAUUAAACUACAACAUUACACGCAGUUAGCAGAGAUUUCGUCUGAAGUACGGUAAAGCUACCUACAUUGAAAUUAUUUAAUAAGAAGAACAAAGGUAUUGGGUUCAUGAAAUUUUUAAAUGACAGAACAAUCGCGUGUUUGAUAUUCCGUCUACUGUUACAGUUCGUGUAAAAAUGAUAUGUUGUUUAUUUAUAAUUGUAUGGUAAAUUAUUCGUUUGGUAAAUUAACAACAAGAAUUGUACCAGUGUCUGCAUAUAUACCUGUACAAACGAUCAUUCGUAUUACUCGAAUAAUUGUGCGGUCAUUAUUCGAUUAAAUGUAUGAAACAAUUGAUUACGCACAACGAAUAAUUACUUCACUGACAGAGUACUCGACUAAUAUGAAUUUAUCCCGAUAGUUUUGCAUAAAUAUUUAUUUGGAACAAUUCAAGUAAUGAACAAUUCGUCCGACUCUGUAACUGUAGAUCUUAUAAUUUAAUUUAAAAUGUAACUGGAAAAUUGAUAAAGUUGUACUAUUAUCAGGAGGCUACCAAACUAUCCAGAUAUUUCCGAGCGAUAAUAUACAAAAGCAUUUCCGGUUUAACCGUUUGCUGGCCAACUCCGCCGUAGCGGAAGAGUUAAAGGUAACAGUAAAUAGAAAAAUAAGGAGAAGAUAAACACGUAGUGAGUGAAGAAAUAAAUAUGUAAAGUAUAAGAACCAUGGUCCAACGAGAACAAGCAGAAACAUUAAAUAAUGUACAGUAAAUAAAUACACAGUAAAUAACUGUAAAAGUAGAUAAAUUGCUGUGAACGAUAAGAACGUAAGAAAAUAUAGAGUCUGCAUAGUUAGGUCGAUAAGUGUACAGACGACUAUGAAAAUGGUGUAAAAUUGAAAAAUUCAACUGUUCUACGUUAAUGAAUCUACGGUGCAGUAAUACGCGGCAAGUUUUUGCAUGACAAAUAUUUCACUGCAAUCACUUCCGACGUCACCGGCGCAGAUACGGAAGCAAGAAGUUGGAGGAAAAUUAGUAUUUCAAAGUGUUAAAGGAUGUAAAAACACGAACGCGAAACUCAAGCAACUUGAAUCAAUAAAUUAUUACAACUCUUUAAGAAAAGCGGAUAGGAAAAGAACGCGGAGGACCGGGAACUGCCUUUAAUUAAGAAUGAUAAGGAAGAAAAUAAUUUCUGGAAUAAUUUGCAGUAAAACAGCCUCAGGGCGUAUGAUGUUAACAAUUAGCAAGCGCAGAAAAAGAUUCAGUGAAAAUAAACAGAAGCAAAGCGAAGGAGGAAAAUGACACGGUUAAGAAGAAAGACAGAAGAAGAAAGUUUGAAAAUUUUGUGAAUAUACACAGCGCGUCCAGUUUAUCUCGAAAGAUGUGAAUGAUAAAGAUAUGAAAAAAGCCUUUUGAACAAAAAUUCCACGAUAUCGAGCAGAAUAUAUUACAUAGUAUUGUGUAUUUGACCUUGUGGUGACCUUGAAACUUUCUGCGAAACACACGUUAAAAUUGUCCAAUGGAUAGCUUUAUCUUUUAGUACAUUUUCUUGUAACUGGCAUCCAGACGUUUUCGAAACGCUACAGACUCCUGUCUUUUGCACCAGGUUUCAAGGUCGAAUACACGAGAGUAUAGUAAACUCGCCUCGAUGUCCUGUAACUUUCGUCUGGAACAUCUUUUUGCACAAUUUUUAUUUUUCGGAAUAUUUCAGGAUAAUUAUUAUUCCGAAAUAUUAUUAUGUAAUUUAUGUAAAUAUUUCUAUAUAUUUCUAUAUAUAUUUAAUAAAUUUCUACAUAAUUA